CCCUUAGAUGUUCUGGGCCGCACGCGUGCUACACUGAGUAGAUCAGCGGGUCAGGUUGCGCGAAAGUGUUUCCUAAUCUUGAAAUCCGCUCGUGAUGGGGAUUGACGGUUGCAAUUUUCCGUCAUGAACGAGGAAUACCUUGUAAGCGCGGGUCAUCAUCCCGCGCUGAAUACGUCCCUGCCCUUUGUACACACCGCCCGUCGCUCCUACCGAUUGAGUGGUCCGGUGAGGCUUUGGGACCUGAGCGGAAAGAGCGUUUCGCUGUUUCUGCUCGGAAAACUCAGUCGAACCUUAUCAUUUAGAGGAAGGAGAAGUCGUAACA
rnacentral:rRNA from 1 species